GACGAACGCUGGCGGCGUGCUUAACACAUGCAAGUCGAACGGAAAGGCCUGCUUUCCCUUGUGGAUUGCGGGUACUCGAGUGGCGAACGGGUGAGUAACACGUGAGUGAUCUGCCCCCAACUUGGGUAUAAGCCUGGGAAACUGGGUCUAAUUCCCGAUAGGACUGCAGGGUGGUGCCUGUGGUGGAAAACGAUUUUCUAGUGGUUGGGGAUGAGCUCGCGGCCUAUCAGCUUGUUGGUGGGGUAAUGGCCUACCAAGGCGGCGACGGGUAGCCGGCCUGAGAGGGUGGACGGCCACAUUGGGACUGAGAUACGGCCCAGACUCCUACGGGAGGCAGCAGUGGGGAAUAUUGCACAAUGGGCGGAAGCCUGAUGCAGUGACGCCGCGUGGGGGAUGACGGCCUUCGGGUUGUAAACUCCUUUCGACCGCGAGGAAGCCACCUAGUUGGAAGGGUGGUGACGGUAGUGGUAGAAGAAGCACCGGCUAACUACGUG
rnacentral:rRNA from 1 species